UUAAUUGAAACCAAAAAGAGGUUAAUUAUUGUUAAUAAUUCUAUUGAAAAUCUAAUUUCCAAUUAAC
rnacentral:tRNA from 1 species